rnacentral:rRNA from 1 species
CCUACGGGUGGCAGCAGUGAGGAAUAUUGGUCAAUGGACGAGAGUCUGAACCAGCCAAGUAGCGUGAAGGAUGACUGCCCUAUGGGUUGUAAACUUCUUUUAUAUGGGAAUAAAAUGUUCCACGUGUGGGAUUUUGUAUGUACCAUAUGAAUAAGGAUCGGUUAACUCCGUGCCAGCAGCCGCGGUAAUACGGAGGAUCCGAGCGUUAUCCGGAUUUAUUGGGUUUAAAGGGAGCGUAGGUGGAUUGUUAAGUCAGUUGUGAAAGUUUGCGGCUCAACCGUAAAAUUGCAGUUGAAACUGGCAGUCUUGAGUACAGUAGAGGUGGGCGGAAUGCGUGGUGUAGCGGUGAAAUGCUUAGAUAUCACGAAGAACUCCGAUUGCGAAGGCAGUUCACUGGACUGCAACUGACACUGAGGCUCGAAAGUGUGGGUAUCAAACAGGAUUAGAUACCCCUGUAGUC